rnacentral:lncRNA from 1 species
AGUUGUUAACGGAUAUGAUAUGGGAAGGUUGAGCUACUGUUUAUCUGUUCCUAGAGAUGCUAGAAUUCUGGAGAAUUUUAUCUUUGAAAAAUCUUUAAAAUAUUGCAUGAUGAGUUCCUGUAUGAUGAGAGUUUAAAUUCCUACCACAGCCAUAUAUACAUGCUUGCUAGACUUUGAGCCACACAUUUACUAUUUACUGCUUAUGAGCAUUGAGUGUGGUCAAGCUGUGUAGACCCUUAGGAGCUUGUCAUGUGGUAAAAUCAAGAUUCACUUGCACGUUCACUCAUACAUGCUGCUUCUACUCCGGAAGUACCAUCCACAUAUAUCCACUCAUUUCCAUCUCCAGAACCACCCAAAAAUAUUCUACUCCUAAUCCGGGAGAGAAUAACCACAAAUAUUUCUGUUUUUUCCUUGUGAAAUAAAUGCUCAAGUUAUCUUGUUACUACCACUUGCUAUAUUAUCUCAUGAGAUGAGUGCUCUAAAAAAAAGGAGAGAAAAUAAUAAACGAGGAAAUAAAAAGGGGCAAGUGCCCGGAACCUCGAAAGAAAGAAAAAGUGAGACGAGAGGUAAAAAUGGACAUGUGUCCGACAGUAGAAUUAGGGGUACAAGAUACCCACCUGAGAGGAAAGAAAAAGAAGAGCAUCUCAUUCUCCUCAUAAAGUUUCAAAAAGCAAGGAAGGUAUGUAUCCCCUCAAAAGAGCAAAAGUAGAAUUAGACUUUCACCAUUAUUAUCACCAUCAUCACCAUACACCAUUCAUCCGCCACACAUGCACAUCUUGGUUUGACUUAUUGACUUGUUUCUCUGGAUCCAUGGUUUGACUAUGCAAUAAAUGUCUUGUAAGUAUGUAUUAGCUGUCUCCCACCUAUGAGCUCCGGAUAUCAAACCUUAUUAGAGUAGGGUGAGAGAGAAGGCAAUGUCACUAUGCCUUAUACCACAAAUACCGCAUAUCUUGAGAGAAGGCAUAUACCAUCACUGCCUUGG